rnacentral:rRNA from 1 species
CGCGUAGGCGGUUUUUUAAGUCUGAUGUGAAAGCCCACGGCUCAACCGUGGAGGGUCAUUGGAAACUGGAAACUUGAGUGCAGAAGAGGAAAGUGGAAUUCCAUGUGUAGCGGUGAAAUGCGCAGAGAUAUGGAGGAACACCAGUGGCGAAGGCGACUUUCUGGUCUGUAACUGACGCUGAUGUGCGAAAGCGUGGGGAUCAAACA